rnacentral:sRNA from 1 species
CUUGAAGCCAUCCAACAGGGGAUUGCACAAGGAGGCAGCCAUGUUCGUCGAUACAGUGGUACUCGCCGGUAUCGGUACAGUUUUGUUGAUGGUCGCCUUCUUCGGUGGCGUCGGUUACUUCAUCUGGAAGGAUGCGCACAAGAAGACCAAGUCGAAUUAAUCCUUCCCGGUACAGAGCACGCAAGGCAAUUUAGGGCGACUUCGGUCGCCCAUUUUUUUG